rnacentral:rRNA from 1 species
GAUGAACGCUGGCGGCGUGCCUAAUACAUGCAAGUCGAGCGAACAGACGAGGAGCUUGCUCCUCUGACGUUAGCGGCGGACGGGUGAGUAACACGUGGAUAACCUACCUAUAAGACUGGGAUAACUUCGGGAAACCAGAGCUAAUACCGGAUAAUAUAUUGAACCGCAUGGUUCAAUAGUGAAAGACGGUUUUGCUGCCACUUAUAGAUGGAUCCGCGCCGCAUUAGCUAGUUGGUAAGGUAACGGCUUACCAAGGCAACGAUGCGUAGCCGACCUGAGAGGGUGAUCGGCCACACUGGAACUGAGACACGGUCCAGACUCCUACGGGAGGCAGCAGUAGGGAAUCUUCCGCAAUGGGCGAAAGCUUGACGGAGCAACGCCGCGUGAGUGAUGAAGGUCUUCGGAUCGUAAAACUCUGUUAUUAGGGAAGAACAAAUGUGUAAGUAACUAUGCACGUCUUGACGGUACCUAAUCAGAAAGCCACGGCUAACUACGUG